rnacentral:rRNA from 1 species
UGCCAUGGGCGAGCCUGAUCCAGCCAUGCCGCGUGUGUGAAGAAGGCCCUCGGGUCGUAAAGCACUUUAAGCUGGGAGGAAGGGUUGUAACCUAAUACGUUGCAGCUUUGACGUUACCAGCAGAAUAAGCACCGGCUAACUCUGUGCCAGCAGCCGCGGUAAUACAGAGGGUGCAAGCGUUAAUCGGAAUUACUGGGCGUAAAGCGCGCGUAGGUGGCUUGGUAAGUUGAAUGUGAAAUCCCCGGGCUCAACCUGGGAACUGCAUCCAAAACUGCCUGGCUAGAGUACGGUAGAGGGUGGUGGAAUUUCCUGUGUAGCGGUGAAAUGCGUAAAUAUAGGAAGGAACACCAGUGGCGAAGGCGACCACCUGGACUGAUACUGACACUGAGGUGCGAAAGCGUGGGGAGCAAACAGGAUUAAAUACCCUGGUAGUCCACGCCGUAAACGAUGUCAACUAGCCGUUGGGGUCCUUGAGACUUUAGUGGCGCAGCUAACGCAAUAAGUUGACCGCCUGGGGAGUACGGCCGCAAGGUUAAAACUCAAUGAAAUUUGACGGA